GUCAUUCUUACUCAUAAAAACCUUUUAAAGCACAAGUGUUUCCCGCGCAAAUUAGAAUUUCUCUCAGUAAGGACUGACGGAUGGCCAUUCACUCAUAAAACCUUUUAAAGGUUAGCACGAAUGCAUCCAGCAUAAUUUUGGAUCUUUACCAUUGAGGAGACUGGCUGACUGUUCUCAACCAACCAUCAUUCACACGCAAAAACUUUAAAGGUAAGUAUGAACGUGUCUAGAGCAGUUUUGGAUCUUUACCAUUGAGGAGGUUGACUGACUUUCAUCUACCAACUGUCAUUAACACAACAAAAACUAAAGAAAUGUUACUACAAGUGGACCUAUUCAGUUACUCAUUAUGCUGUGAGUGAGUACACCACAAUUUUAUCAGUGAAACAAUAAUGUUUGUUUUUUCUCUAUGCUUGGCAUAGAC